CCUACGGGAGGCAGCAGUAAGGAAUAUUGGUCAAUGGACGCAAGUCUGAACCAGCCAUGCCGCGUGAAGGAUUAAGGCCCUCUGGGUUGUAAACUUCUUUUAUAGGGGACGAAAAAACGGGCAUUCUUGCUCACUUGACGGUACCCUAGGAAUAAGCACCGGCUAACUCCGUGCCAGCAGCCGCGGUAAUACGGAGGGUGCAAGCGUUAUCCGGAUUUACUGGGUUUAAACGGGUGCGUAGGUGGGUUGGUAAGUCAGUGGUGAAAUCUUCGAGCUUAACUCGGAAACUGCCAUUGAUACUAUCAAUCUUGAAUCAUCUAGAGGUAAGCGGAAUAUGUCAUGUAGCGGUGAAAUGCUUAGAUAUGACAUAGAACACCAAUUGCGAAGGCAGCCUACUAUGGAUGUAUUGACACUGAGGCACGAAAGCGUGGGGGAUCAAACAGGAUUAGAUACCCUGGUAGUCCACGCCCUAAACCGAUGGAUACUCGACAUUUGUGAUAUACUAUAAGUGUUNUGAGNGAAGACAUAAGUAUACCACCUACGGAGUACGACCGCGAGUAGUAACGUACGAAGAAGUAGACGGCGUGAGACGUAGACCGACGGACGACGACGAGGGAGGAGG
rnacentral:rRNA from 1 species